UGGGGAAUCUUGCGCAAUGGGCGAAAGCCUGACGCAGCGACGCCGCGUGGGUGACGAAGGCCUUCGGGUUGUAAAGCCCUGUGGGGCGAGACGAACAGCUUCUGGUCGAACAGGCCAGGGGUUUGACGGUAUCGCCUUAGCAAGCACCGGCUAACUCUGUGCCAGCAGCCGCGGUAAUACAGAGGGUGCAAACGUUGCUCGGAAUUACUGGGCGUAAAGCGCGUGUAGGCGGUUUUAUAAGUCCAACGUGAAAGCCUGGGGCUCAACCCCAGAAGUGCGUAGGAUACUGUGAAGCUGGAGUCCUGAAGAGGAGAGCGGAAUUCCCGGUGUAGAGGUGAAAUUCGUAGAUAUCGGGAGGAACACCUGUGGCGAAGGCGGCUCUCUGGGCAGGUACUGACGCUGAGACGCGAAAGCGUGGGGAGCAAACAGG
rnacentral:rRNA from 1 species